GUUAGGCCCCCCGUCCACUUCACCUAUUCUAGAAGAUUCAAGAAGGGGGGAAAAUCAGCUGGCACAAGGGAUAACUAAAUUCUGUUUAGGAGCAUGUGGGGAGGGGAAUAAGUUUGUUAGAAACAGGUUAUAAAUAGGGGGGCUUAAGGUAAAGAUAGCAGGCAAUUAUUAAGUAAGGCAUAGGAGUCCCGUAUUAGUCCAUUUACUUGUAAUUUCUGCAAUAUAUCCGAAUUAAUUUCCAUUUCAGAUUGAGUGUUCUUUUGGAAUCCUAUCAAAUUGGUAUCAAAGCAACAAAAUCCUGAUGGCCCAAAAGAAAACCGAUGGAAGGGUAGAAGCAAUGGAAAAAGAAAUCGAAGAAUUGAAGGGUGAAAUGCGGCAGCUCCCGGGGUUAGCAAAAUCUGUAGAACAGUUAACUCAAAGCAUGGCCAUGAUACUACAAUCCAUGGAGGAAACUAGAAGGACAGUGGUGACUAUGGCGAACCCAAAAACUUGAACAGGCAGAAAUAUGGAGAAAGAAGGAUCCAGCAAUGUUACCGAGGCAUUACUGCCACCAAGUAACCCUCCGGCAAGCAAGGGCGAACAAUGCAGUCUAGAGCGUGGUAAAUGGCCAGAGGGAACAGGCGAGGCAAGUUUCGGCGGAAGCUUGGACAGAGGUGAAAAUUGGCGAAGCAUUCGAAAACUCGAGAUGCCCAUUUUCAGCGGAGUAGACCCGGACGGAUGGUUAUUCAGGGCCGAAAGAUAUUUUGACAUUAAUGGCCUCACUGAGCAGGAGAAACUGGGGGCGAUAGGGGUGAGCCUCGACGAUGACGCACUUUCCUGGCUUCAAUGGACGGAGGCUCGAGCUCCGUUUCAAAACUGGUGACAGUUCAGACAGUAGCUGUUGCUGCGUUUCCGGCCGACGCAGGAGGGUAGCAUUUGUGUGAGGUUUCUGGCGAUCAAACAAAGGGACACGGUGGCUGAGUUCCGGCGGGAGUUCGAAGUAUUGGCUGCCCCGCUAAAGGAGAUACCAGACGAAGUGAUAGAAAGCACUUUUGUUAAUGGGCUCAAGCCAGAAAUAAGGGCCGAAAUCAGGAUACUGGGGCCAAAAGGAUUGGGCCAGAUUAUGGGGUUGGCCCAAAAAGUGGAAGACCGUAACUCCAUAAUCAAGGAAGUAAAGGACCCAACAGCCCACAGGAUCCCCAAAAUACUCCCAAAUCGUUGGAAGCCAAAGUCGACUUUCCCUAUCAAAACUGUCACGAUGGGGGAGAAGCCGGUCGACGACCGGCGCGAACGUCCGACCAAGCGUAUGUCGGACGCGGAAUGGCAGAUGAGGCGCGACAGGGGGCUUUGCUUCUGAUGUGAUGAGAAGUUUACCGUGGGUCACCAGUGCAAGAAUCGCAAGCUACGGAUUUUGUUGGUUGAAGGGGAGGAUGACGAAGAAACCGUUGAUGAUUCGGAGGCGGCACGACCAUUCGAAGUAGCAGAUAAGGUAGAACUAUCAUUAAACUCGGUGGUUGGGCUAACUACCCCAGGCAUCAUGAAAUUGAAGGGGAAGGUAGGCUCAAGUAUAGUAACUGUGCUAAUCGAUUGUGGGGCAACCCACAAUUUUAUAUCCGUAGAUGUUGUCCAGAAGAUGGAAAUUCCAACCACAGCAACAACGAAUUAUGGGGUGGUGAUGGGAACGGGCAAGUCAGUGAAGGGAAGGGGAAUCUGUAAAGGUGUGGUUUUGGAAUUGCAGGGCUUGACUGUAGUCGAAGAUUUCUUACCUUUGGAGUUAGGAAAUACAGACGUGGUUCUUGGGAUGCAAUGGCUGGGGAGUUUGGGUAAUAUGGAAGUGAACUGGAAACUUCUCACCAUGAGAUUUCGAAUCGGCGAGACUUUGAUGACGUUAAAAGGGGACCCAGGACUUAAUAAAUCUAGGGUCUCGUUAAGGGCCAUGGUGAAAGCAUUACAAAAUGAAGGGCAGGGAAUCUGGGUAGAGUAUGACGAGCCAACUACUGAGAUGGGAGAUAGGGUGGAGUUGCCCAAGGGAGUACAGACGUUAUUACAGACACACCAGCAGGUGUUUAAAGAGCCACAGGGGUUACCACCCAACCGAGACAUAGAUCAUUCAAUUCUAUUAAAGGAGGGAGUUGAACCAAUUAGUGUCAGGCCUUUCCGAUAUCCCCAUAUCCAGAAAAACGAGAUUGAACGACUGGUUCGAGAGAUGUUAAAUGCUGGGAUUAUUCAGCCCAGUGUCAGCCCCUUCUCUAGCCCCGUACUACUCGUCAAGAAAAAAGAUGGUAGUUGGCGGUUUUGCGUAGAUUACAGAGCUUUAAAUAAAGUGACGGUCCCAGAAAAGUUUCCCAUUCCCAUGAUCAAUGAGUUAUUGGAUGAGCUCCAUGGAGCUACUGUAUUCUCUAAACUUGACCUCAAGUCGGGAUAUCACCAAAUCAGAGUCAGAAAGGAGGAUGUUCAUAAGACUGCAUUUAGGACGCAUGAGGGACAUUAUGAGUUCCUUGUCAUGCCUUUUGGUCUCUCCAACGCACCGGCAACGUUCCAAUCAUUAAUGAAUCAGAUUUUCAGGGCCUAUUUAAGGAAGUUCGUGCUGGUUUUCUUCGACGACAUUUUAGUCUAUAGUAAAGAUAUCCCUACGCAUGAGCAACACUUGGAGAUGGUGUUUACUUCUCUGGCCGCCCAUCAGCUGUAUGCAAAUGCGAAGAAGUGCAUCUUCGCCCAACGGCAGAUUGAAUACUUGGGCCACUUGGUGUCAGCCGAAGGAGUGGCGGCCGAACCAAACAAAAUAGAAGCAAUGGUGCAUUGGCCUACCCCCCGCAAUCUCAGAGAAUUAAGGGGCUUCUUGGGCUUGACUGGCUACUACAGAAGAUUUGUGGCAGGUUAUGGGGCAAUAUCUUGGCCACUGACCCAACAACUCAAGAAGGACGCCUUUGGAUGGAAUGGGGAGGCAGAAACAGCAUUCCAGAAACUGAAAUCAGCUAUGACGACGGUCCUUGUCUUAGCCCUUCCCGAUUUCUCUAAGGCCUUCAUCAUCGAAGCAGAUGCUUCAGGCCACGGUUUGGGAGCAGUACUCAUGCAAGAACAACGGCCCAUCGCAUAUUACAGUCAGGUAUUGUCGGCCAAAUCACAAUACAAAUCUGUCUACGAAAGGGAAUUGAUGGCAAUUGUGCUCGCUAUCCAAAAAUGGCGACAUUAUCUCCAGGGAAGAAAGUUCACAGUCCACACUGAUCAGCGCAGCCUUAAAUUCCUCCUUGAGCAGAGAGUCAUUCCUCUAGAAUUUCAGAAAUGGGUGACCAAGCUACUGGGAUAUGAAUUCAAGAUUCAGUAUAGACCGGGGAGAGAAAACAGAGCUGCAGACGCCUUGUCACGUGUCCCCAGCACAGUGGAACUAGCCGCCAUCACAAUUCCCAAGGUUAUUGAUGUCCAGUUGAUAAGCAAUCAGGUUAAAAAUGAUCCGUUACUCUCAAAGAUGAUGAAUGCUUUACAAGAAGACCCGGAUGCUUACCCCAGGUAUUUCGUCGAGCAAGGCAAGUUACUUUUCAAAGGUCGCCUUGCCAUUCCUCAAACUUCUCCCCUGAUUCCUUCUAUCUUGGAGGAAUUCCAUAGCAGCACCAUGGGGGGACACUCUGGGUUCCUACGGUCCUACAAAAGAUUGGCCAGCAAUCUCUACUGGAAAGGGAUGAAGAAAGAGAUUCGGAAGUUUGUGGAAGAAUGUGCGGUUUGUCAGCGAAACAAGUCUCUUGCCCUUUCUCCUGCCGGGCUCUUACAACCACUGCCAAUACCCAGUCAAAUAUGGGAAGAUGUCUCCAUAGAUUUUGUUGAAGGCCUCCCCACAUCUGGUGGAUACAAUGCCUUGCUGGUAGUGGUCGACCGACUGAGCAAAUAUGCCCACUUCCUCCUUCUGAAGCAUCCUUUCGUAGCCCCAGGGGUGGCAGCCCUCUUUGUUAAAGAAAUCAUACGGCUUCAUGGUGUUCCUAACUCCAUUAUCUCCGACUGGGAUAAGGUCUUCUUGAGCCAUUUUUGGAUGGAGAUUUUUCGCCUACAGGGAACAACUCUACGCCGGAGCACCGCCUACCACCCUCAAACGGAUGGGCAGACUGAAGUUAUCAACAGAUGCCUUGAAACAUUUCUUCGAUGUUUCUCCUAUGACAAACCUAAGAGCUGGUCCACUUGGGUUCCGUGGGCUGAAUAUUGGUACAAUACGACUUUUAACACUUCUACAAAUACCACUCCAUUUCGGGCUGUUUAUGGAAGGAACCCCCCGCCUCUGAUUCGUUAUGGUAGCCAAACCACUAAGGUACAAUCUGUUGAACAUCAGUUGCAGCAAAGGGAUUUAAUGUUGGAUGAACUGAAGGCUCAUCUUAGUCGUGCCCAAGAUAAGAUGAAGUUAGUAGCAGACCAACGUCGAAGGGAUGUUCAUUAUGAUGAAGGGGAUUUAGAAUAUGUCAAGCUACGUCCAUACCGUCAACGUUCUUUGGCAAAACGACCUAAUGAGAAGCUGGGGCCUAAAUACUUUGGCCCGUUUAAAGUGCUGAAACGCAUUAGACCAGUAGCCUAUCGUCUGGACUUGCCUCCCAGCGCAACAAUACAUCCGGUUUUUCAUGUAUCCCAAUUGAAGAAGGCCCUGGGAUCAAACACAGCGCAUCAAUUUCUUCCCCAGCAACUCACUGCUGACUUGGAAUGGAUUGUGGAACCAAAGCAAAUUUUGGACAUACGUCUUGCACAGUCAGGUCAACCUCCAGGGAAGUACUGGUACAAUGGAAAAGCCUGCCGACGACAGAAGCAUCUUGGGAAUCAGUGGACUCCAUCUUACAACACUUCCCCGACUUCCACCUUGAGGACAAGGUGUGUUUGGAAACCGGGGAUAGUGUUAGGCCCCCCGUCCACUUUACCUAUUCUAGAAGAUUCAAGAAGGGGGGAAAAUCAGUUGGCACAGGGGAUAACUAAAUUCUGUUUAGGAGCAUGUGGGGAGGGGAAUAAGUUUGUUAGAAACAGGUUAUAAAUAGGGGGGCUUAAGGUAAAGAUAGCAGGCAAUUAUUGAGUAAGGCAUAGGAGUCCCGUAUUAGUCCAUUUACUUGUAAUUUCUGCAAUAUAUCCGAAUUAAUUUCCAUUUCAGAUUGAGUGUUCUUUUGGAAUCCUAUCAGAUUCACGUGGUACUUUUUUCAGCAAGGAGAAUGCAAAAGGUUCAAAAAAUGGCAGCUUUUACCACAAAAUAUAUAACAGUUAAUUGCGGAC
rnacentral:lncRNA from 1 species